GGCACAUUUCUAAUUGCAACAGGUUCCUUGGAAGACCUGUCUGUAAACAUUCUCACCCUCUUUUCUCCCAGGUCACAAAGUGGGCAGCCAGCCAAAGAGUGGCCAGGACUGGGGAUGGGCCCAUGCAGGUGUGGACAGAUUUGCUGUGCUGUGCUGUAUGACACAUGGACUUGGGAAGCAGCUCUUCUGGAAAACAAGGGCCAGCUUCUUGACAGUUACUUUGAAGCCUACCAGCACACGUUGGACCCUGAGGAGAGGUUCGCCUUAGCACAAGUGAUGACGGACAUCGUGCACUGGCGCCCAAGGUUUGAUCUCAGCCACUCCUAUUUCAUUAAGGCCUACCAAGAGGAAUGUACCUGCCUGAGGCUUCACCUGCAGUUAGUGAGGGGCAUCCUCACCCAGCAGAUAGAAUGUCAGCGGGAGUAUGUCCAGAGGAUUUGGCAAGAGGAUCAUCUGGACAAUAGCAAUACAUUUGAACUUCCCCUUAAUAUAGUUUGCAAACAACUUAUUUCCACCAACAAUAGCUGCCCGGCUUCAAAAAAUGUUUAUCUGCUGGAGUUCCACCCUUCCCUCAGCCUGGUAGCGCUUAUCCCCAAAGCCCUAGAGCACCUCUUCCAAGAGGCCUGCCAUGCCUGCAGACCCACAUCAGCCAGUGGCCUCGCCUCCCUGGAGCGACAUGUCCUGCAGCUGGCCCUGGGCCUGUGGCUCACCCCAGCCACGCCUGAAGCCUGCUACAGUGCACAGCUCCAGAAAGAUGUAAGUUCUUUUUGAAGGGGAUAGUUGGGUCCUUGGCAGGGAGAAUUUUUUUUUCCAGAUGUUACUGUUUAGCUUUGUUUUCUGUUUGGCUCUAUUCCCCAUUAUUUGGCUAGAGACAGAGCUCAGUCAUAAGCCUUGCCAACAUUUUAUGUGAUUUUUUGGGGAUGGGGUCAAAGUUUCUCAUUUGUGAAGAUACUGCUACAAUUAAAAUUUAAA
rnacentral:lncRNA from 1 species